AGACCUGGGAAACGUAGGGUCGUAAUACAGGAUAGGACGAUGGUUUGGAUGCCAUUGUGGAAAGUUUUUCGGUGUGGGAUGAGCUCGCGGCCUAUCAGCUUGUUGGUGGGGUAAUGGCCUACCAAGGCGUCGACGGGUAGCCGGCCUGAGAGGGUGUACGGCCACAUUGGGACUGAGAUACGGCCCAG
rnacentral:rRNA from 1 species